UACAGAGGGUGCAAACGUUGUUCGGAAUUAUUGGGCGUAAAGCGUGUGUAGGCGGCCUCGUAGGUCGGAUGUGAAAGCUCUCGGCUCAACCGGGAAAGUGCAUUCGAAACCACAAGGCUUGAGUGUACGGAGAGGGAAGGCGGAAUUGUCGGUGUAGAGGUGAAAUUCGUAGAUAUCGAACAGGAACACCUGCGGCGAAAGCGGCCUUCUGGACGAACACUGACGCUGAGACACGAAAGCGUGGGGAGCAAACAGG
rnacentral:rRNA from 1 species